ensembl:lncRNA
CCACCAUGUUCCACUCGUGUGUUUGGUGUUAGUGUCUUAUUUUUGCAAAUAGUUGUAAAUAGUCUUGUCAAGUAGCGAUCGUACAUUUUGUUCACCUUGUGUAUAUAUCCUUCACUGCAGCAGCCUAGUAGGCGUGAGAAGCCAUUUUUGUUGAUUAAGUUUUCUCCUAUUUUUGUUAGAAAGUUAGAAUAGAGCGACUGUGGAGAGACCUCUGGGUGGCCGUUACAUGCAUUUACUACGAUGUUCUUCACAACCUUGAGGAAGAAGGCCUUCUUGACAUUUCAAAUGCUGCACACCUCUUUUGCUGCCAUUACAUCUUUCUUCCUCGACUGGAGGAUGGUUUUAAUACAUUUUGCAGUGGAUGGGACAACCAUCCACUGCGAACAGAAAACAACACGAGUCCCAACCAGCUGUGGGAGUUGUGUCACAGAUAUCGCCCUGUUCCUGUUCCAGAAAACACACAGCUUAUCACACAUUUGAUUUCCAUGUGUGACAACUGCAAGUGUCCAGAGUGAGGACAGACUGAGGGACCCACUGCUGCACAUCAUCUGUGAGGCUUUGCACCCCUGAUGAUCCACCAGGACAAACUCAGCAGUGUGUGAGGAAGAGGAGGAGGAGGAAGAGCCAGCAGCAGCUGACAGAUGGAGAGAAUAGACAGACUGUUCCCUGUUUGUGAAGGACUGCUAGGAAAGUUU